GGGGAUGGGGGGGGGAUGUGGAUUCUUUUAAGAAUGUGGAUAUUUGGGUCAUCUUUGGCGCCCCCUAGAACGUAAACCGUGGGGUGCAGCGUCAUGAUUUUUACAACUUUGAAUGGCCAUGGGGUGUAGAUUGGCCUGAGCAAAUUUGGUGUCAGUGGGACGAAAGCCUUAGGAGGAGUUAGCCACAUUCCAAUGUGUGCGAAUCGGCAAAAAAUGCAAAAUAGCCCUUUAACCGUACAUUUUACAGAUACGUGCGCAUUGACUUUUUCGUAGAUCUUAUUGAGAUACAUGUGAUUGUCAAAUUUUGUGUCAAUAUGACAAAGCGUACAGGUAUGACAGUCAACAAUGUGUUUUUUCAUCUUAUGGGACAAGAAAAAAUGGACUUUUUUCUCCUGCCAUGGGGGGGGGCGCUCUUUUGGGGAUUAAAAAUUCCUUCACAAAUGUGUUGAUGGCUGGACAUUGCAUCAUCCUAGAAAACUUGGAGGCCAGUGAGGGCAAAAAUAAAAAGUUAUAAGACUUUGAAAUAUGUGGAUUUUAGGGUUAUCUUUGGCGCCCCCUAGAACCUAAACCGUGGGGUGCAGCGUCAUGAUUUGAAUAACUUUUAAUGGCCAUGGGGUGUAGAUUGGCCUGAGCAAAUGUGGUGCCGGUGGAACGAAAGCCUUCGGAGGAGUUAGCGAAAUUCCAAUGUGUGCGGAUCGGCAAAAAAUGCGGAAUAACCCUUUAACCGUACAUUUGACAGAUACGCCCGCACUGACAUUUUUUUAGAUCUUAUUGAGAUACAUGUGUGUGUCAAUUUUUGUGUCAAUAUGACAAAGCGUAAAGGCGUGACAGUCAAUAGUGUGAAUUUUCACCUUAGGGGGCGCUAUGGAGCCAUUUUGCAUUUUCUUGUUUGGGCGACUUCGGAAUAUCAAAUUUUUCACCAGGCCCGGUCAUCCUGCCAAAUUUCAUGAGUUUUCGCCAGUGGGAAGUGGGCCAUUUUACAGUUCAAAGGGGAGGAAAAAGAAGAAACUAGGGCCCCGGUGGGGCACUGGCGGGCCCGAGCCGUGUCGCGCCGCCCCCAGCGCGACCGCCUCCCCCUUCCGAUCGCGUCACACUCAAGGUCCAAAGAUGGUGUGCGCACUUGUCUGUGGUCAUUUACCAUUAUAAUGAAUGGGAGGCACAGUUUCUACCAAAACGCUUGCUGCAGACAAACUCCAUGUCCUUUUUGAAAAAAGUCUGGACCAUGAGUGAGGGCACAAACACAGCUUUGAUAUAUUCAAAUGGCAAGUUGCUCCUCCUUUCGGUUUUGCCGAGAGAGCGAUGCGUUUGAGCCAUUGGGCGACUGGCAGGAAAAACUUAACUUUUUCUCCUGCCAUGGGGGGGCGCUCUUUUGGGGAGUAAAAAUUCCUUCACAAAUGUGUUGAUGGCUGGACAUUGCAUCAUCCUAGAAAACUUGGAAGCCAGUGAGGACAAAAAUGAAAAGUUAUAAGACUUUUAAGAAUGUGGAUUUUUGGGUUAUCUUUGGCGACCCCUAGAACGUAAACCGUGGGGUGCAGCAUCAUGAUUUGUACAACUUUUAAUGGCCAUGGGGUGUAGAUUGGCCUGAGCAAAUUUGGUGCCGGUGGAACGAAAGCUUUAGGAGGAGUUUGCCACAUUCCAAUGUGUGCGAAUCAACCAAAAAUGCGAAAUAGCCCUUUAACCGUACAUUUUGCAGACACGUGCGCAUUGACUUUUUCGUAGAUCUUAUUGAGAUACACGUGAUCGUCAAAUUUUGUUUCAAUAUGACAAAGCGUACAGGCGUGACACUCAACAAUGUGUAUUUUCACCUUAUGGGACAAGAAAAAAUGGCCUUUUUUCUCCUGCCAUGGGGGGCGCUCUUUUGGGGAGUAAAAAUUCCGUCACAAAUGUGUUGAUGGCUGGACAUUGCAUCAUCCUAGAAAACUUGGAGGCCAGUGAGGACAGAAAUAAAAAGUUAUAAGACUUGUAAGAAUGUGGAUUUUUGGGUUACCUUUGGCGCCCCCUACAACGUAAACCGUGGGGUGCAGUGUCAUGAUUUGUACAACUUUGAAUGGCCAUGGGGGUUAGAUUGGCCUGAGCAAAUGUGGUGCCGGUGGAACGAAAGCCUUCGGAGGAGUUAGCGAAAUUCCAAUGUGUGCGGAUCGGCAAAAAAUGCGAAAUAGCCCUUUAAACGUACAUUUGACAGAUACGCCCGCACUGACUUUUUUGUAGAUCUUAUUGAGAUACACGUGUGUGUCAAAUUUUGUGUCAUUUUGACAAAGCGUACAGGCGUGACACUCAAUCAUGUGAAUUUUUCACCUUAGGGGGCGCUAUGGAGCCAUUUUGCAAUUGAUUGUUUGGGUGACUUCAGAAUAUCGAAUUUUUCACCAGGCCCGGUUGUCCUGCCAAAUUUCAUGAGUUUUCACCAGUGGAAAGUGGGCCAUUUUCCAGUUCAAAGGGGCAGAAAAAUAAUAAGAAGAAGAAGACUAGGGCCCCGUUGGGGCACUGGCGGGCCCGAGCUGUGUCACGCCGCCCCCAACACGACCGCCUCUCCCUCCCGAUCGCGUCACACUCAAGGUUCAACGAUGGUGUGCGCACUUGUCUGUGGUCAUUUACCAUUAUAAUGAAUGGGAGGCGCAGUUUCUACCAAAACGCUUGCUGCAGACAAACUACAUGUCCUAUUUGAAAAAAGUCUGGACCAUGAGUGAGGGCACAAACACAGCUAGGAUAUAUCCAAAUGGCAAGUUCCUCCUCCUUUCGUUUUUUUCCGAGAGAGCGAUGUGUUUGAGCCAUUGAGCGAUGGGCAGGAAAAACUUGACUUUUUCUCCUGCCAUGGGGGGGCACUCUUUUAGGGAGAAAAAAUUCCUUCACAAAUGUGUUGAUGGCUAGACAUUGCAUCAUCCUAGAAAACUUUGAAGCCAGUGAGGACAAAAAUGAAAAGUUAUAAGACUUUUAAGAAUGUGGAUUUUUGGGUUAUCUUUGGCGACCCCUAGAACGUAAACCAUGGAGUGCAGCGGCAUGAUUUUUACAACUUUGAAUGGCCAUGGGGUGUAGAUUGGCCUGAGCAAAUUUGGUGUCAGUGGGACGAAAGCCUUAGGAGGAGUUAGCCACAUUCCAAUGUGUGCGAAUCGGCAAAAAAUGCAAAAUAGCCCUUUAGCCAUACAUUUUACAGAUACGCGCGCAUUGACUUUUUCGUAGAUCUUAUUGAGAUACACGUGUGUGUCAAAUUUUUUGUCAAUAUGACAAAGCGUACAAGCGUGAAUCUCAACAAUGUGUAUUUUCACCUUAGGGGACAAGAAAAAAUUGACUUUUUUGUCCUGCCAUGGGGGGCGCUCUUUUGGGGAGUAAAAAUUCCUUCACAAAUGUGUUGAUGGCUGGACAUUGCAUCAUCCUAGAAAACUUGGAGGCCAGUGAGGACAAAAAAAAAAAGUUAUAAAACUUUUAAGAAUGUGGAUUUUUGGGUUAUUUUUGGCGCCCCCUAGAACCUAAACCAUGGGGUGCAACAUCAUGAUUUGUACAACUUUGAAUGGCCAUGGAGUGUAGAUUGGCCUGAGCAAAUGUGGUGCCGGUGGAACGAAAGCCUUCGGAGGAGUUAACAAAAUUCCAAUGUGUGCGGAUCUGCAAAAAAUGCGAAAUAACCCUUUAACCGUACAUUUGACAGAUACGCCCGCACUGACUUUUUUUUAGAUCUUAUUGAGAUACAUGUGUGUGUCAAUUUUUGUGUCAAUAUGACAAAGCGUACAGGCGUGACAGUCAAAAGUGUGAAUUUUCACCUUAGGGGGCGCUAUGGAGCCAUUUUGCAUUUUAUUGUUUGGGCGACUUCAGAAUAUCGAAUUUUUCACCAGGCCCGGUCGUCCUGCCAAAUUUCCUGAGUUUUCGCCAGUGGGAAGUGGGCCAUUUUCCAGUUUAAAGCGGAGGAAAAAUAAUAACUAGGACCCCGUUGGGGCACUGGCGGGCCCGAGCUGUGUCGCGUCCCCCCCCCAACGCGCUGCCUCCCCGUCCCAUUUGUGUCCUCUGGCCAUCGCCCUCUUUGGUAACGCCCAUCAAUGCAAAGACCCUUUUCCUUCAUCGGCGUUUGCUGUUCUUCCUGCCAGUGCGUGUUGCUUUCACUUACACUUGCCACAGCCAGCCUCGUGAGUGCCUAGCCUAUUGGAUAUCACUGUCACCUACACAGGACAGUCAUUACCUUUCUAUUAAUACUUUGUUUUUUAAUUUCACAUUAAUUUCCAAAUUGUAUAAACGACUGGAAAAAACUUGAGCCCCUGCCCCUGUAUAAUCAUGUGCACGUCUCUGUUCUAGCUCUAAGGUAAAUCUUCACUGCUCAUGUUCUCCUCAGAAGCAGUCACCUCACUCCCCUCAGGUUACUGUACACAUGCACCAACUGCCUGCUUCAGGUUUGGAUGGAGCUUCAUGGUUGUCUUUUGGAGAAAUGACCAGUCAAGUUGUGUUUGAAAUUUGAUUUUUUUCAGGGGCAAAAGGAGCCUCUGCAUUCUUGUCAAAUAUGUAAAUAGCAUGUUUUUGCAGGUGCUACAAACCAGACUCUGAGUGUGUGUGUGUGUGCGUGUGUGUCUGUGUGUGUGUGUGUGUGUGCGUUCAAGUCACAUGACAUAUUUAACCGGAUGUAGCUGCAAGACGGAGCCUCGUUGACUCUCCGUUUCAAUUUAUCUCAAAAGUGAGGACCUCAACCUAUAUACCAGUUUUUAAAUUGUGUUGAUAGGCCAAAUAAAACCAGAGUUAUGAUAAAUUAUGUCCGCGAUACUUUUUUUCUGCUUAUUUUGAUCACGUUCGGCGCUCGAUCGCGCUGUAUGAGACAGGAAAACAUAGCAUGCAGAAAUUAGCGACAGGUCUUACAGGCGGAAAAGGCUUGCCAAAGGAAAAAAAAUACACACCACAACAUCUCUCCUAUUGGUGGAAAACUUCACCACAACAACCAAUCCAAAAUUAUAUGGUGACUGAUUGACAAGGGGCGGGAACUUACGUUCUUCCUGCAAUAUGAGAAGGGAGGGAGGGACUCUCAGCAGGGAUGCAGUCUGGGACACGUAGUUGCAAACCUAGCGACUUUGUUGUUAGAUUCAAUGACUUUUCAGACCCCCUAACGACUUUUUUAGAAAGAAAGUGACUUUUAUCGACUCCU